rnacentral:rRNA from 1 species
UACGGAGGAUGCAAGCGUUAUCCGGAUUUAUUGGGUUUAAAGGGUGCGCAGGUUGUUUGAUAAGUCAGUGGUGAAAGUCUGUCGCUUAACGGUAGGAUUGCCAUUGAUACUGUUGGACUUGAAUAUGGAUGAGGUAGGCGGAAUGUGUAGUGUAGCGGUGAAAUGCAUAGAUAUUACACAGAACACCGAUUGCGAAGGCAUCUCACAAAGCCGUUAUUGACGCUGAGGCACGAAAGUGUGGGGAUCAAACAGGAUUA